CUCGCGCCGUGUGUGUACAAACACAAAAGACACGCUGAGGGGCCGCCGGCUCCCGCCGAGACUGCCGCCCGCACCCGGCCAGCCCCCGCCCCCGGCCCUGCACUCCCAUCCCGCUCCGUGUGCGCACGGCGUCGAACCCCCGAAGCCCGGGUUUGGGGCGCCCGGAGGGAACUGGCAAAUAGGAAUCCAGCGUCCCGCGCCCGCUGUCGGACCUGGCCGCUGCGGCAGCGGGAGGGGCGGACCGACGGCCUCCUUCCCGCCUGCGCGCUCGGCCAAGUGCGGCCGGGUCCUGCGGGACCGGCCCGAGUCCGCCGUAGACAACUUGAUCCGCUAAGACUCCUGGGCCGGCCGCCUGCGUG
rnacentral:lncRNA from 10 species